UUGUAAUAAGUACACAUUAUGUUUUUGUAACGUUUUAAGUACUGUUGCUUUAAACUGUUUAAGUUGUGCUAAUUCAUUUGUAUUAGUCAUCAUCCACAGCCCCGCCCCCAGUGUUUUGCCUGGACUUGUCGGCCAUGAGACAGGAGCCUCGUCAAGAGAGUGGAAAGUACAAGAUAAAGUUAUUUUUAUGUUUUUUUGUUAAUGCUUACUUCUAGCAUACAAAACGUACAUUUAUCAGACUGCUUUGUUUUAGUUGUACUUCGUUGUAAUUUAUCAGACUACUUUGUUGUAGUAGCUCGUAACUUAGCUUGCCAGCACACAAUUCCCGCCUAGCGCUGUAUGGAGUCUGCCUUCACAAUUUAAAAAAUUAACGGUUGGUGGCUUGUUUCAAUCAAUAGUUGUCUGACGAUUGAAGGAGCAGUAGCAUGCCGAGAGAUCAUCCAGCACUGCACUAAAGACAACCAGUAAAGGCUUCCCACCUGACUUCCUA